GUGGGUACAGCUCAGUGGUAGAGCCCAUGCUUAGCAUGCACGAGGUCCUGGGUUCAAUCCCCAGCACCUCCA
rnacentral:tRNA from 1 species